AUAUUAUUUGGCAGGGGAGACACCAUGAUCACAAAGGAGGUUUUCCCACGGCUAGGCUUAUCCAUUGCACUCUGGAUGUGUUGACCCCUGCGAUUUUCCAAAAUGCGGGAGAAAUGGCUCAGUGGUUAAGAGUGCUGGCUGCUCUUCCAGAGGACUCCGGUU